UACGGAGGGGGCUAGCGUUGUUCGGAAUUACUGGGCGUAAAGCGUGCGCAGGCGGUGAGCUGUGUCCGAUGUGAAAGCCCCGGGCUUAACCUGGGAAUGGCAUUGGAAACUGGCUCGCUGGAGUGUGGCAGAGGGGGGUGGAAUUCCGCGUGUAGCAGUGAAAUGCGUAGAGAUGCGGAGGAACACCGAUGGCGAAGGCAGCCCCCUGGGCUAACACUGACGCUCAGGCACGAAAGCGUGGGGAGCAAACAGG
rnacentral:rRNA from 1 species